rnacentral:RNase_P_RNA from 1 species
CCAGUGGAACAGGCGAUCGCGGGGCCGCGCAAGCGGCUCUGAGGAAAGUCCGAGCUCCAUAGGGUAGGACGCUGGGUAACGCCCAGUGGGGGCAACCCCGAGGAUAGUGCCACAGAAAGAUACCGCCCGACAUAGUUUUCGCACCUCACUUCGCGGCGUAUGCGACCUCUUCUUGGAAGUUUUUCUUUCAGAACCAUCUGCCGCCACGCUUGGUGCCAACAACGUCCACGUGUCGGGUAAGGGUGCAAAGGUGGGGUAAGAGCCCACCAGCAGCCGGGUGACCGGCUGGCUAGGUAAACCCCGUCCGGUGCAAGACCAAACAGGGGAAGUUGACGCGACCCGCCGAUUCCCCGGGUAAGGUCGCUGGAGGCGGCAGGUAACUGUCGUCCAAGAGAGAUGAUCGCCCUCCCCGCGGGGGGACAGAACUCGGCUUACAGGUCCACUGGCUCG